rnacentral:rRNA from 1 species
CCUACGGGAGGCAGCAGUGGGGAAUUUUGGACAAUGGACGCAAGUCUGAUCCAGCCAUUCCGCGUGCAGGACGAAGGCCUUCGGGUUGUAAACUGCUUUUGUACGGAACGAAAAAGCUCUUAUUAAUACUAGGAGUCCAUGACGGUACCGUAAGAAUAAGCACCGGCUAACUACGUGCCAGCAGCCGCGGUAAUACGUAGGGUGCAAGCGUUAAUCGGAAUUACUGGGCGUAAAGCGUGCGCAGGCGGUUAUAUAAGACAGAUGUGAAAUCCCCGAGCUUAACUUGGGAACUGCAUUUGUGACUGUAUAGCUAGAGUACGGCAGAGGGGGAUGGAAUUCCGCGUGUAGCAGUGAAAUGCGUAGAUAUGCGGAGGAACACCGAUGGCGAAGGCAAUCCCCUGGGCCUGUACUGACGCUCAUGCACGAAAGCGUGGGGAGCAAACAGGAUUAGAUACCCUGGUAGUCCACGCCCUAAACGAUGUCAACUGGUUGUUGGGUCUUCACUGACUCAGUAACGAAGCUAACGCGUGAAGUUGACCGCCUGGGGAGUACGGCCGCAAGGUUGAAACUCAAAGGAUUGACGGCCUGAGAGNGCGAGGCGACGACGAGGGAGGAGG